rnacentral:rRNA from 1 species
GGCCUAUCAGCUUGUUGGUGGGGUGAUGGCCUACCAAGGCGACGACGGGUAGCCGGCCUGAGAGGGUGAUCGGCCACAUUGGGACUGAGAUACGGCCCAGACUCCUACGGGAGGCAGCAGUGGGGAAUAUUGCACAAUGGGCGGAAGCCUGAUGCAGCGACGCCGCGUGAGGGAUGACGGCCUUCGGGUUGUAAACCUCUUUCAGCAGGGACGAAGCGUAAGUGACGGUACCUGCAGAAGAAGCACCGGCUAACUAUGUGCCAGCAGCCGCGGUAAUACGUAGGGUGCGAGCGUUGUCCGGAAUUACUGGGCGUAAAGAGCUCGUAGGCGGUUUGUCACGUCGUCUGUGAAAUCCUAGGGCUUAACCCUGGACGUGCAGGCGAUACGGGCUGACUUGAGUACUACAGGGGAGACUGGAAUUUCUGGUGUAGCGGUGGAAUGCACAGAUAUCAGGAAGAACACCGAUGGCGAAGGCAGGUCUCUGGGUAGUAACUGACGCUGAGGAGCGAAAGCAUGGGUAGCGAACAGGAUUAGAUACCCUGGUAGUCCAUGCCGUAAACGGUGGGCGCUAGGUGUGGGGUUCCUUCCACGGGCUCCGCGCCGUAGCUAACGCAUUAAGCGCCCCGCCUGGGGAGUACGG